rnacentral:rRNA from 1 species
CCUACGGGAGGCAGCAGUGAGGAAUAUUGGUCAAUGGACGAGAGUCUGAACCAGCCAAGUAGCGUGAAGGAUGACUGCCCUAUGGGUUGUAAACUUCUUUUAUAAAGGAAUAAAACGAGGCACGUGUGCCUUAUUGCAUGUACUUUAUGAAUAAGGAUCGGCUAACUCCGUGCCAGCAGCCGCGAUAAUACGGAGGAUCCGAGCGUUAUCCGGAUUUAUUGGGUUUAAAGGGAGCGUAGAUGGGUUGUUAAGUCAGUUGUGAAAGUUUGCGGCUCAACCGUAAAAUUGCAAUUGAUACUGGCAGUCUUGAGUCCAGUUGAGGUAGGCGGAAUUCGUGGUGUAGCGGUGAAAUGCUUAGAUAUCACGAAGAACCCCGAUUGCGAAGGCAGCUUACUAAACUGUGACUGACAUUGAUGCUCGAAAGUGUGGGUAUCAAACAGGAUUAGAUACCCGUGUAGUC